rnacentral:rRNA from 1 species
AGCCCUACGUUAGUUGCUAACGCGUGAAGGCGAGCACUCUAGACGAACUGCCGUUGACAAAACGGAGGAAGGUGGGGAUGACGUCAAAUCAUCAUGCCCCUUAUGUUCUGGGCUACACACGUGCUACAAUGGCCGGUACAGACGGACGCAAAGCCGCGAGGCGGAGCAAAUCCGAAAAAGCCGGUCUCAGUUCGGAUUGCAGGCUGCAAUUCGCCUGCAUGAAGUCGGAAUCGCUAGUAAUCGCUGAUCAGCAGGCAGCGGUGAAUACGUUCCCGGGCCUU